UCCGAAUUGGUGUAGUGGCUAACAUUUGACGCUCUCAAUUAUCGCACACUGAUGUGUAAGAUCGCAAAGUGCCGUCAAGCCCGGGGUUCGAUUCCCCGAUUCGGAG